CAGUCGAGCGACAGACAAGGAGCUUGCUCCUUUGACGUUAGUCGGCGGUACGGGUGAGUAACACGUGGGUAACCUACCUAUAAGACUGGGAUAACUUCGGGAAACCGGAGCUAAUACCGGAUAAUAUUUCGAACCGCAUGGUUCGAUAGUGAAAGAUGGUUUUGCUAUGCAGCGUUAUAGAUGCGACCCGCGCCGUAUUAGCUAGUUGGUAAGAGUAACAGGCUUACCAAGGCGACGAUACGAUAGCCGACCUGAGAGGGUGAUCGGCCACACUGGAACUGAGACACGGUCCAGACUCCUACGGGAGGCAGCAGUAGGGAAUCUUCCGCAAUGGGCGUAAAGCCUGACGGAGUCAACUGUCCGCGUGAGAUGAUGAAGGUCUUCGCGAUCGAUAAAACUCUGUUAUUAGGGUAAGAACAUACGUGUAAGUAACUAUGCACGUCUUGACGGUACCUAAUCAGAAAGCCACGGCUAACUACGUGCCAGCAGCCGCGGUAAUACGUAGGUGGCAAGCGUUAUCCGGAAUUAUUGGGCGUAAAGCGCGCGUAGGCGGUUUUUUAAGUCUGAUGUGAAAGCCCACGGCUCAACCGUGGAGGGUCAUUGGAAACUGGAAAACUUGAGUGCAGAAGAGGAAAGUGGAAUUCCAUGUGUAGCGGUGAAAUGCGCAGAGAUAUGGGAGGAACACCAGUGGCGAUGCGACUUUCUGGUCUGUAACUGACGCUGAUGUGCGAAAGCGUGGGGAUCAAACAUGAUUAGA
rnacentral:rRNA from 1 species